rnacentral:tRNA from 1 species
GAGAUUAUAGUCAACCAUGACAUUUGACUUGCACUCAUAAAGUGCUCUAAAGAGCUAAUCUU